GAUGAACGCUAGCUACAGGCUUAACACAUGCAAGUCGAGGGGAAACGACAUCGAAAGCUUGCUUUUGAUGGGCGUCGACCGGCGCACGGGUGAGUAACGCGUAUCCAACCUGCCCACCACUUGGGGAUAACCUUGCGAAAGUAAGACUAAUACCCAAUGACGUCUCUAGACGACAUCUGAAAGGGAUUAAAGAUUUAUCGGUGAUGGAUGGGGAUGCGUCUGAUUAGCUUGUUGGCGGGGUAACGGCCCACCAAGGCAACGAUCAGUAGGGGUUCUGAGAGGAAGGUCACCCACAUUGGAACUGAGACACGGUCCAAACUCCUACGGGAGGCAGCAGUGAGGAAUAUUGGUCAAUGGGCGAGAGCCUGAACCAGCCAAGUAGCGUGCAGGACGACGGCCCUAUGGGUUGUAAACUGCUUUUAUAGGGGAAUAAAGUGAGCCACGUGUGGUUUUUUGCAUGUACCCUAUGAAUAAGGACCGGCUAAUUCCGUG
rnacentral:rRNA from 1 species